AGAGUGCAUAAUGCCCAUUUCUCGUAUUGGAUCCAAAGUGAAGUUGGGGAUUGACUCCAGAGCUUCCGUAUCUGGUGCAAAAGUCAAUCAGUUAAAAAUAAAAAUAUUUUGUAACCAGCUCCAAUUAUGUAUUAAGUGUAUUUAAUAUUAUUAUCUCCUUUGUGGGGCAUGAACGUCUUUGCUUUUUGGUGUUUAGAAUACAAGGUUCCAUAAGAUGGAUAUUCGUAGUGAAUCGUAAAGAUAAGAGGCAAGAUGUGUGACUAGAUCCAGUUUUGACAAUUAAGAUUUUAAAAUUAUCA
rnacentral:lncRNA from 1 species